rnacentral:rRNA from 1 species
UACGUAGAGUGCAAGCGUUGUCCGGAAUUAUUGGGCGUAAAGAGCUCGUAGGCGGUCUGUCGCGUCGGCUGUGAAAACCCGGGGCUCAACCCCGGGCCUGCAGUCGAUACGGGCAGACUAGAGUGCGGUAGGGGAGACUGGAAUUCCUGGUGUAGCGGUGAAAUGCGCAGAUAUCAGGAGGAACACCAAUGGCGAAGGCAGUGUCCUGGGGAGUACCUGACGCUCAGGUGCGAAAGCCAGGGGAGCGAACGGG